AGUGAUAGCCUCCUAGUUACAAGACCAGGAUGAAGACCCAGUGAAGAGGUCCAGGUGUCACUAACAGCUCUUCACUGGGCAUCUGCUCAGGACCCACAAGGAGAUACAAAGGCUUGGGAGCUGUUCCAGCUGCUCCUGUGUACUCCUUCUCAGGGGGUCAUCGGUCUCCAUGAUCCACACAGAGAGAGCCAUGCUGUGAUUCCAUUGUCUCCCUGGAUCUCAGACAUCAGAGUCCUAACUUUCAAGGUCACAUGUUGAAUGAAUUUGGAGGGUAUUCAAUAAGGAACGAGGCUAAAAGAAAGGGAAGCACGCAGUCCUGAGCAGCGCUCCAAAGCUACGCUUUUACGAUUCAGUGGAGACUCACUCAUUUGUGGAUCUGCUCAGAAGUCUCAUUGUCUGCUAUGGGGCCGGCACACUUCCCCGGUGCAAUCAGCAUAGCAGAGAACAGCAAUUGGAGAAGGUGCCAGCCCAGACCUGGAUACCCUGAGGGCUCAGUCCACGGAAGACCCCACAGUGUCCUUCAAGGUGCCCCCCAGGGACAGACGAAUCACCAGGAAGCACCCACAGAGCAACAAGAUCAGAACUCAGGAUGGCACGGGGGAGACUUUGUACAGCUUGGGGCGCUGUUCCAGAAGAAUGGGAACUUUUCUCGCCCUGACCUUGCCCAAGACUGCAGUGAGCCUGGGCCCAGUCCUGGAGGGUCUGAGCAGGGUGUCCUGGCAGGUCCCAGUGAACUCCUGGUAGGAAUGGGAAUCCAAAGGCACACAGAAGUGCCCCGGGAUGUACAGAUAGGUGCAUGCCUCCCUCAACAAUGGGAAAUCUUGGUGGAGUGAUCCCCUGGCAUUUUCUAAGUCCUCAACCAUGCAUGCACCCCAAACAUAUCCCCUCCAGGAGCUCCUGUAAUCUGGCCCCAAGAGACAAAUGCAAGUGUGUGCACAACAGACUAUUUCCAAAACAUAAGCAUGAAUAGCCCAGAUGUCUACAGAGUACAAUGUGUAAGAUAGCCAGACUGUUCCUCCAAUAGAGCACAGUGCAGCAGGGAAACAAGGUCAAGGCUGGUAGCAUACACAGACAGACGGGGUGAUGGUGGAGGGAGGUACAGUCAUCAGCAUCCUAAGUUCAUUCUUCCCUCUUCCCUCUUCCUCCUUUCCCUGUGGGAUUUUAGAAUCAAAGCAAAAGACUGUUCCGUAAUAUCUUAUAUUUUUUCAAAGUGAAAGUCACCCACACUGGAGAGAGGACUGAGGGAAUGCUGUGGGCCAUAGCAAAGGCAGCUACAGCUCCACAUAGCUAGUGGGAGCAGAGGGAGGCACAGGCCGGAUGUUUCUUUAUUUGCAGAGUGGACAGAGCAACAGCUUGAAAGAAAUCAGAGCUAGUCACGGCAAUACACAAUCAGAUUCCCUGUCUGAGUUCUACGGAUUUUUUUAAAUUGGAAAACAGCCACCCUGAACUGUCUGUCUUCCCUCCGUAGCACCUGGAGCUGGCUGUAGCCCUGUGCUCUGCCUGUGGCUCUGGGCCCUCUGCUUGGCCACAGCUCGAACCCCUCUUUACUGUGUCCCCUGCACUGCAGCCUGUUCACCUUGUGGUUUUGCACACACUGGAGCCGUUCCCUCGCCUGUAUGACCUGCCCUGUCCUGGGAGCAUACAGUCUGAUUCUGCCUCUAGAGAGUUAGGACACAUGCAUGGGCAGGUCCUUCCUUCCGUGUUACCUAGAGCUGAGUAACCAUGCUCCAUUACACUCAGAAUCCUCUCAGCAGAUAUUUUCUCUCUAAAAUUUCCCUGCAUGCAUUUAGAAACAGAAAUCUGUGCCUGCA